AUCAGGAUGGCCGAUCCGUCUAAGGUGCUGCGUUCAGGUCGCAGUCUCCACUGGAGGCAUGGGUUCGAAUCCCACUCCCGACA
rfam:Cricetulus griseus cell line CHO-K1, whole genome shotgun sequence.